rnacentral:rRNA from 1 species
AUACGGAGGAUCCGAGCGUUAUCCGGAUUUAUUGGGUUUAAAGGGUGCGCAGGCGGGAGAUUAAGUCGGCGGUGAAAUUUUGCAGCUCAACUGUAAAAGUGCCUUCGAAACUGGUUUCCUUGAGUGUAGAUGAAGUAGGCGGAAUUUGUGGUGUAGCGGGGAAAUGCUUAGAUAUCACGAGGAACUCCGAUUGCGCAGGCAGCUUACUAAACCACUACUGACGCUCAGGCACGAAGGCGUGGAGAUCAAACAGGAUUAGAUACCCUGGUAGUCCACGCAGUAAACGAUGAUUACUGGCUGUUUGCGAUACAAUGUAAGCGGCUGAGCGAAAGCGUUAAGUAAUCCACCUGGGGAGUACGUUCGCAAGAAUGAAACUCAAAGGAAUUGACGGGG